rnacentral:tRNA from 1 species
GCCCCGAUAGGCUCAGUCGGCAGAGCGUUUCCAUGGUAAGGAAAAGGUCCAGGGUUCGAUUCCCUGUCGGGGCUCCA